rnacentral:rRNA from 1 species
GAUGAACGCUGGCGGCGUGCCUAAUACAUGCAAGUCGAGCGAACAGAUAAGGAUCUUGCUCCUUGGACGUUAGCGGCGGACGGGUGAGUAACACGUGGGUAACCUACCUAUAAGACUGGUAUAACUUCGGGAAACCGGAGCUAAUACCGUAUAACAUUUUGAACCGCAUGGUUCUAAAGUGAAAGAUGGUUUUGCUAUCACUUAUAGAUGGACCCGCGCCGUAUUAGCUAGUUGGUAAGGUAACGGCUUACCAAGGCAACGAUACGUAGCCGACCUGAGAGGGUGAUCGGCCACACUGGAACUGAGACACGGUCCAGACUCCUACGGGAGGCAGCAGUAGGGAAUCUUCCGCAAUGGGGGAAAGCCUGACGGAGCAAAGCCGCGUGAGUGAUGAAGGGUUUCGGCUCGUAAAACUCUGUUAUUAGGGAAGAACAAACGUGUAAGUAACUGUGAACGUAUUGACGGUACCUAAUCAGAAAGCCACGGCUAACUACGUG